UACGUAGGGUGCAAGCGUUGUCCGGAUUUAUUGGGCGUAAAGAGCUCGUAGGCGGCUUGGCAAGUCGGGUGUGAAAACUUCAGGCUCAACCUGGAGAUGCCACCCGAUACUGCUAUGGCUUGAGUCCGGUAGGGGACCACGGAAUUCCUGGUGUAGCGGUGAAAUGCGCAGAUAUCAGGAGGAACACCGGUGGCGAAGGCGGUGGUCUGGGCCGGCACUGACGCUGAGGAGCGAAAGCCAGGGGAGCAAACGGG
rnacentral:rRNA from 1 species